rnacentral:rRNA from 1 species
AGCGAACGUUAGCGGCGGGCUUAACACAUGCAAGUCGAGCGAGAAAGUGGCUUCGGCCAUCAGUAAAGCGGCGGACGGGUGAGUAACACGUAGGUAAUCUUCCCUUGAGCGGGGGACAACGUUUCGAAAGGAACGCUAAUACCGCAUAAGUUUCCAGGAACUCUGGUUCCUGGAAGGAAAGCUAGGUCGCAAGAUCCGGCACUCGAGGAGGAGCCUGCGUCGCAUCAGCUAGUUGGUGGGGUAANGGCCUACCAAGGCGAAGACGCGUAGCUGGUCUGAGAGGAUGAUCAGCCACACUGGGACUGAGACACGGCCCAGACUCCUACGGGAGGCAGCAGUGGGGAAUAUUGCGCAAUGGGCGAAAGCCUGACGCAGCGACGCCGCGUGGGGGAUGACGGCCUC